rnacentral:lncRNA from 10 species
AUGAUUAGAAGUGCGGGGAGUUGGAUGCUCUUGCUCCCUGAAGAUUGUCAUGCAAUUCCUCCUCAAGUGUUGAGCCUCUUUCCGGCAGAAGGGUGCCUUAGGGCAGGCCGUUAUGAUGCCUUGUCCACUGCUGGCAUUCAGCAAGGUAAAUCUUGCUGCUACUCACUCUUUGGGUCUACGCUACUUUUAUGAGCUGUAACACUCACCGCGAGGGUCUGCGGCUUCUUUACUGAAGUCAGUGAGACCACGAACCCACUGGAAGGAACAAGCAACUCCAGACUCGCCACCUUUAAGAACUGUAACACUCACUGGGAAGGUCUGAGGCUUCACUCCUGAAGUCACCCACACAGCGAACCCACAGGAAGGAAGAAUCUCUGGACACAUCUGAAGCAACAAACUCCGGACGCACCAUCUUUAAGAGCUGUAACACUCACCACAAGACUCUGCGGCUUCAUUCUUGAAGUCAGCGAGACCAAGAACCCACCAGAA